AAGCCAAGCCAGUUUUGUCCAGGCUAAAUCAAUGCUAGUGGGUCUGUUUGGUUUCGGUGGUCUGCGGUAGCCUGCAUUGGCUAGCAACUGUUUGGUUGGAUGUAUACGAUGGUACGAUUACCUUGUACUUGGUUGAAAGGUGAAGUUACCGCUUCAUCUCCCUCCUCGACGGUGGUAGAAGCAUUGCAUCCCCAUUCAGGAAAGCAGCAAGCCAAUCUUAAACUAAUGGCUGCGAGUGGUGCCGUUGAGGUGAGUACUCCUUUGACUAAACCGAGGUACUACUAAUGAUGACUAUAGCUACUACCUCAACGUUAUGGCCUUGUGAGCUAUAACAAGCUAGAAGAAUAUUCACAUGCGUCAAUUCGGUGGAGCCGCCGUGCUCAGGGAGGUGUCACCGGGGAGCAGCUACUGCGCAUCAAGAACGCGUGAUUCAAGGCCGCCGGCUCCGUGACCAUGGCACGCUUGACCUGCUUGAUGUCGGCGAGAAACUGGAUGAGAAUGUACAGGCCGAUUAUAGGUCGCCGGAGCGUCUCGUAUAUACUCGAAGUUGUCGAUGUCAUCAUAAGCUAAAAUUUGCUUGCUUCUUGGCGUCGGCUAUUAUGUCAGGAUAAAGCCGACACCUUACCCUUCGGUGGGGUCAUCAGGCCGCUGUCUGCCAUUGUUAGUUCAGUGGAGCCACGGCUCCAAACUAUUAGUGCAACCAUAUUGGAGCAGUGCAUUGAUGAGAUGGAGUUGUGGAGUUGACAAGGCUGCCUUCCUUGGUCGUCGCCGCGGAUCUGCCAAGAAUGUCCAACUCCAACAUACGAUAAAGACCUAGGUAGGGAUGUAAAUGGUACGGAUAUUUUCUAAUUGUAUUCGAAUUCGAUCCGGUCUGGAAGGGUUUUAUUUGUCCGUAUCCGAUUCCGAGUAUUCAAUAUCCGUAACUGAUCUGUAUCAGAAUAC